rnacentral:lncRNA from 1 species
GGUUUUCUUUUGAUUUUCCAAAUUAUGUACAUGACAUUUAAAUAUGAAUAAAGGCAUUGUGUUUUAUCAUAUGCUGUUGAUUAUAUUUGUGAUAAACCCCUUAGAUUAGGGCAAUGGUUUUGAGGCUAUGAUGAGAUCAUACUAGUGAGACCUAAAAUCCUAAAAUCCUAAUCUUAAAUAUUCAAAGUCAUUGGUACAUUGAGUCGGGGAUCAAUGUUUACCAGAAAGACUGGCACAUCCUNNNNNNNNNNNNNNNNNNNNNNNNNNNNNNNCACAAUCACUUGUGUGGAGACACUAAUACAAAGAUGUGGGUGCUCAUUAGAAGAAUGAGCUCACUGAAUUGACUUACAAAGAGAAAUCUUAUGAAGUCUUACUUACAUGUCAAAAGAUGAUUCUCUUAGUGGGAGUUGUGCAACUGAUCCUAUGACCUGAGAUCACCAUGGUAUCUUGUGCACAUGAACCCAUGUUUUGGUUUACACUCAUUCAUUACAAUAAGUUGUGUACGGGGUCUUCUGGAUAUGGUGAAUUGUGUACGAAGAUUAUGAGUAGGUCAACAAGGAAUUAAUCACUUCUAGUAAGAGAAGAUAGCAUCCUAUUUAUUCUAAUCAUAUGAUAAUUCAGGAAGCCUUUGAUCAAAGCAGAAUGAAAAUUAGAAAGAGUUUCUAAUGUUUCAUUAUUUGAAUUAUCAUUAAAAGGUUGAGAAAGAUAUGAAUAUGAAUUGAGUUUGAUAUAUAUUCAUACUCAUAUACAUAUUCGGGAUGCAGUUUGAUUAAAGGAUUGAAUUGCAUGGUAACUUGCUACUGAAGGGUAUUUUGGUAUUUCUACCAAAUUUCAUAUUUUCCGGGUAGACAUGACAUGUUGCUAGACGUCAAUCUUGUCUUAUAGGUUUGAUCGAAUUAAAGAGUUUAAUUCGAUCACCAAUUAGAAAAGAUUCUAAUUGUUAAGUUCGGGUUCGCGCAGUUUGGACUUAAAUCGAUUAGAAAAGUUCUAAUCAAGUUGGGUCAACUCGCACUCACACCUAUUGCUGGCUAAGUAUGGAACCCAAUGGGUCACACACAAGGAAACUUAUCAAGGGUCUAAUUUGAUUAGAUCAUGUUUGCAAGAUAAACAUCCUAGCAGGUGUUGCAAACCCUUAGCUCCUGAUUCGAAUUGGAUUCGAAUCUGAUUCGAAUUGGAUUCGAAUUUGAUUCUUAAUUGAUCUAAUUUGAUUAGAUCAUGUUCUAAUAUGGGUUAGCCAAGAGUUGGCACCUAAUUGGCUUGGUUUGAGUCUAAUUGGAUUAGAUUUGAUAAAUCAUUCAAUCUAGACCGUUAGAUUUUGAUCUACCGUUGAAUGAAGACAUAAUGGAGAGUUGGUUUAACCCAAUUGGAUUGGGUUAGAGGAUGGCUAUCAUAAUUGACCAUUGGAUCUUAAUCCCACCAUUGGAUGAAGACAUAGUGGGUCAAGUGAAUGGCGCCUUGUAUUGGAGCCCUUGGAUCAUCAUCAUGAAAGAUCAAGAGGUGAGGCAUGAUGGACAUGUGAUUGGCAUGUGAUGUUGACUUGGUCAAAAUAUGGCACCACAUGAAAGGAUAUAUCAUUUGAUACACCUCCUCACUUGAUCUGUGCCUCCUCUUAUUUGAUAUGGCCCUUUAGAUGAUGCCCUUUCAUGAAAGGAUGUGUGGAUGGGAUGCAUCCCUUGGAGAUGCAUCCCUACGCCUAUUAUAAAUAGGCUAGCGCUCCAUGGGUUUCAUCAUUCCAACUCCACCGCAUUCUCUUUCCCUUAUCCCUUCUUUCUUACAAGGCUUUGUCUCUUUCUAGCAUUGCUUCUAGGGUGUCCUAAUCCAAGACAAGGUGGUCUUCUUUAGGAUAAAAGGAUUAGAAGUGAUUUU